GAUGAACGCUGGCGGCGUGCUUAACACAUGCAAGUCGAACGAUGAACCUCACUUGUGGGGGAUUAGUGGCGAACGGGUGAGUAACACGUGAGUAACCUGCCCUUGACUCUGGGAUAAGCCUGGGAAACUGGGUCUAAAUCCGGAUAUGACUCCUCAUCGCAUGGGUGGGGGUGGAAAGCGUUUUGUGGUUUUGGAUGGACUCGCGGCCUAUCAGCUUGUUGGUGAGGUAAUGGCCGA
rnacentral:rRNA from 1 species